GACGAACGCUGGCGGCGUGCUUAACACAUGCAAGUCGAACGGAAAGGCCCUGCUUUUGCGGGGUGCUCGAGUGGCGAACGGGUGAGUAACACGCGAGUAACCUGCCCCUGACUUUGGGAUAACUUCAGGAAACGGGGGCUAAUACCGGAUAGGAGCUCCUGCUGCAUGGUGGGGGAUGGAAAGUUUCGGCGGUUGGGGAUGGACUGGCGGGUUAUCAGCUUGUUGGUGGGGUAGUGGCAUACCAAGGCUUUGACGGGUAGCCGGCAUGGGAGGGUGACCGGCCACAUUGGGACUAAGAUACGGCCCAGACUCCUACGGGAGGCAGCAGUGGGGAAUAUUGCACAAUGGGCGGAAGCCUGAUGCAGCGACGCCGCGUGCGGGAUGACGGCCUUCGGGUUGUAAACCGCUUUCGCCUGUGACGAAGCGUGAGUGACGGUAAUGGGUAAGGAAGCACCGGCUAACUACGUG
rnacentral:rRNA from 1 species